GAGGACUAGGGGUUAAUAUCAGAAUGAGCUUUGGGCUGCCAUGUGGCAGGGGGCAGAUGAACAGAGUCAAAGGCAGCAAAGCACACAUGCUUUUGGGACGAGCGAACCUCACAGCGCACGAAGUUGGACCAAACCGGACUCCUGUAAAGGAUAAAGACUUGUCACCUCUCAAGAACUCAGCCAACUUUACCUUUGCACUGUUUUGAGAAAAAAAAAAAAGUGCUGUUCCAUGCGGCUGCAUCCAUUGAACGAGCCUAACCUCCUGCUCUCAGGAGUCCGCAUGGUCCUAAAGUCA
rnacentral:lncRNA from 13 species